rnacentral:rRNA from 1 species
CGGGUGAGUAACGCGUGGGUAACCUGCCUCACACAGGGGGAUAACAGUUAGAAAUGACUGCUAAUACCGCAUAACCCGAUAGGAUCGCAUGAUCCAGACGGAAAAGAUUUAUCGGUGUGAGAUGGACCCGCGUCUGAUUAGCUAGUUGGUGAGGUAACGGCCCACCAAGGCGACGAUCAGUAGCCGGCCUGAGAGGGUGAACGGCCACAUUGGGACUGAGACACGGCCCAA